AACCAAAAAAAUUUAUAUUUUUAAUAGUUUUUUCUUUUUCUCCUUAUCCUAUUUUCAUUAUCGUCAAUGUUUACCAUCUCUUUCUUUUGCCUCCUCAACUCUUCAUCAACAAUCAACAUGUUUUUAGUUGUUCCUCUCUCUGUCUACUUAUUGAUAAUUCUUCUCUAGUGACCAUUUUCUUAUUUGAGAACCACAAAAUUAUGGUGAGAGUGAAUCUUUGGGAUGCUAGAAGGUGGCAGCGAAAGUUUGAGUCUAAGCAGAUGGUGAGAGUGAAUCUUGAGAUUCAAAAGAAGAGGAACACAUAAGUAAAGACAAUCGUGAAGGUUGCAUAGUAUAUAUUCUAAUAUAUUUUAGAAGAUACAUGUAAUGUUAGCAGAUAACAAUAUUCUUAUAAUGUAUAUGUCAACAAAGUAAACUUCAAGAUAAAUUAAUUUCAA